UACGGGGGGUGCAAGCGUUGUCCGGAAUCACUGGGCGUAAAGGGCGCGUAGGUGGCGUCGUAAGUCUGUGGUGAAAGCCCGGAGCUCAACUCCGGGUCUGCCGGCGGGAUACUGCGAGGCUUGAGUGCUGUAGAGGGGGGUAGAAUGCCGGGUGUAGCGGUGGAAUGCGUAGAGAUCCGGCAGAAGACCGGUGGCGCAAGGCGGCCCCCUGGGCAGUAACUGACACUGAGGCGCGACAGCGUGGGGAGCAAACAGG
rnacentral:rRNA from 1 species